GAGUUUGAUCAUGGCUCAGGAUGAACGCUGACAGAAUGCUUAACACAUGCAAGUCAACUUGAAUUUGGGUUUUUAACCUAGAUUUGGGUGGCGGACGGGUGAGUAACGCGUAAAGAACUUGCCUCACAGUUAGGGACAACAUUUAGAAAUGAAUGCUAAUACCUGAUAUUAUGAUUUUAAGGCAUCUUAGAAUUAUGAAAGCUAUAAGCACUGUGAGAGAGCUUUGCGUCCCAUUAGCUAGUUGGAGAGGUAACAGCCCACCAAGGCGAUGAUGGGUAGCCGGCCUGAGAGGGUGAACGGCCACAAGGGGACUGAGACACGGCCCUUACUCCUACGGGAGGCAGCAGUGGGGAAUAUUGGACAAUGGACCGAGAGUCUGAUCCAGCAAUUCUGUGUGCACGAUGAAGUUUUUCGGAAUGUAAAGUGCUUUCAGUUGGGAAGAAAGAAAUGACGGUACCAACAGAAGAAGUGACGGCUAAAUACGUGCCAGCAGCCGCGGUAAUACGUAUGUCACGAGCGUUAUCCGGAUUUAUUGGGCGUAAAGCGCGUCUAGGUGGUUAUGUAAGUCUGAUGUGAAAAUGCAGGGCUCAACUCUGUAUUGCGUUGGAAACUGUAUAACUAGAGUACUGGAGAGGUAAGCGGAACUACAAGUGUAGAGGUGAAAUUCGUAGAUAUUUGUAGGAAUGCCGAUGGGGAAGCCAGCUUACUGGACAGAUACUGACGCUAAAGCGCGAAAGCGUGGGUAGCAAACAGGAUUAGAUACCCUGGUAGUCCACGCUGUAAACGAUGAUUACUAGGUGUUGGGGGUCGAACCUCAGCGCCCAAGCAAACGCGAUAAGUAAUCCGCCUGGGGAGUACGUACGCAAGUAUGAAACUCAAAGGAAUUGACGGGGACCCGCACAAGCGGUGGAGCAUGUGGUUUAAUUCGACGCAACGCGAGGAACCUUACCAGCGUUUGACAUCUUAGGAAAGAGAUAGAGAUAUUUCAGUGUCCCUUCGGGGAAACCUAAAGACAGGUGGUGCAUGGCUGUCGUCAGCUCGUGCCGUGAGGUGUCGGCUUAAGUGCCAUAACGAGCGCAACCCCUUUCUUCAGUUGCCAUCAGGUAAUGCUGGGCACUCUGGAGACACUGCCACCGCAAGGUGUGAGGAAGGUGGGGAUGACGUCAAAUCAGCACGGCCCUUACGUCCGGGGCUACACACGUGUUACAAUGGCCGGUACAGAGAGUUGAUUUUGUGCAAACACGAUCUAAUCCUUAAAUCCGGUCCCAGUUCGGACUGGGGUCUGCAACCCGACCCCACGAAGCUGGAUUCGCUAGUAAUCGCGCAUCAGCCAUGGCGCGGUGAAUACGUUCCCGGGCCUUGCACACACCGCCCGUC
rnacentral:rRNA from 1 species